ensembl:misc_RNA Metazoa_SRP Metazoan signal recognition particle RNA
UGCCGACUGGGUGCCUGCACUAAGUUCGGCAUCAAUAUGGUGACUUCCUGGGAGUGGGGUCCACCAAGUUGCCUAAGGAUGGCUGAACUGGCCCAGGUCAGAAAUGGAGCAGGUCAGAACUCCAGCACUGACCGGUAGUGGGACUGUGCCUGGGCA